UCUCACCAAAUAGUUGAAUACGCUAAAGAAGUUUUAUAUUGGAUGGUCAUACUAUAAAUACUAAAGGUUUACAGAGAAAAGAAAUUGUGAAAAUAAAAAAAAAAAAAAAAAAGAACAAAGUUGAGAGAAAAGAGAAUUUUCAAGUGAAAAUGGCGAGAAAAGAAGCUUUGGUUUUCGCUUUCUUAUGCCUCAUAAUCAUGGCAUCUGUGGCAGCCAGAACUAUUCCAGAAGCAAAUGUCGAUAAUACAGAUGCUACAACAACAAAUAAGCAUGCAGAAUUUCUUGAUAACAAUAAUAAAAUUGAUGGUAAAGUUCGGACGUGUUGCAUCUCAAAUCCGUUAAUUGGGGGCUGCUUGUGGUAUUGCAAAGCGAAGCACACAUAGUCACCAUACAGCCGCAUGGAUUAUACAAGACACACGAUGCACUACCAUGGGCUAUGCAGGAUUUGAAUAAUAAACGUGUCCUUCAUCCUAAAAUCGUCGUGUUGUAACAAAUUAAUGUGAAAUAAAUAUCACAUGAAUAUCUUUAGUAGUUAAGUCUUAUGGUUUGUGAGUGAUAUCUUAAUAGUUAUUUUGAUAAUACUUAAGCAAUUUAUCUAAUCAUAUUUUGUGCCACAA